rnacentral:lncRNA from 10 species
GUGAUUAGCUGUCGGCCGGCCCUACGUAGUGCCCUUAUCAGGGCGAAGAUGUUCCCGUCUGUUCCCAGUUUGCUGAGAUGUUUUGUUUUCCUCCUCAUGAGUGGGUGUUGAGACGGUGGUACCACCUGUUGAUAUAGUGAAGUGCCUGGGCUGAGUUUUGACUGCUUGAUGUGGCCUUGUGUUCUGAGAUUACCCCUACUAGGUCUUGAUGUGUGAUCCUUUCUGAACUGCUGGAUUCAAUUGGGUAAUAUUUUGUUAAGAGUUAUUUGCAUCUAUAUUCAUGAGGGGUAUGGUCUAUAAUUUUAUUUUUUCUUAGUGUCAGAUUUUGGUACUAGCCUCAUAGGAUGAGUUGGAUAGUGAUCUCACUUCCUCUAUUUUCUGAAAAAGCUUGUGUAAGAUUGGCACUGUUUCUUCCUGGAAUGUUACAUGGAAUUUACCAGGAAAACAAGCCGAGCUAGAGUUUUCCUUUGGGGAGUGUUCUUUUAUAAGAAAUUUAACUUAUUGAGUAGAUACAGGGCUAUUCUAGAUUGUUUAUUCUUGUGUUUCUUUAAUAAGUUGCCUUUUUCAAGAAAUUUGUCCAUUUCAUGUAAGUUGAAUUUGUUACUGAAUUUGCUGGCAUGAAGUCGUUCCCAGCAUUCUCUUGCCCUCUGGCUGUCUGUAAGGUGUGUCCUGAUAACCCGUUGAACAUUCCUGACAGUGGAGGUUUGCGCUCUCUCGUUUUCCUGAUCAGGCUAGAAGUGUGUUAGUUAGCUUGUCUUUUCAGUGAACCUGUUUUUUUCUGUUACAUGUUAUUGUUGUCUCUUUAUUUCUGCUCUGUAUUAUUCUCCUCCUUCUACUCGACGCUUACUUUGCUCUUUCUGGUUUCUUGAUUUGGAGCCUUAGGUUACUGAUUUUAGAUCUUUCUUCUUUACCAAGGUAGCCAUUAGAGCUGUAAGUUUCCUUCUAAACACUACUCUAGCUGCAUCUCUUAAAUUCUGGUAUUUCAUGGUGGCG